CUUCAUUGACAAUGAUGCAUGGCAAUGAUUCUUUUCUCGGUUUUAUAUUACUUUUAAGGAUUAAAAGAUCUAUUAUGCAUCCAGUCCCAAUGACUUAUCUUUCCUAUUCUCUACCCAAACCAUAUUCCUACAAUCAUUUUUGCUGCAUCUUUACUGCAAUUCUUGUUUAAUAAACCAAUAUGUUAGAUUCUAAAGAUGUUUUUGACAAUGGAGAAAGAACAAAACAAAAAUAAAACAACGUAACCAAUGGCAAUGGAGGAGAUUGCAACAUGAGAAGAGGUGACCCCAUAUCUGUGCCAUGGAGAUGGCAUAAUAUCGGCAUCUCAAGCCACCAUUUGUUGUUUCCUAUGUUGGAGAUCAUCACUUACACAAAUGAAACGACAUUAGACAACACCAGAUGGUCCUUAUCCUUUUGGUUAUAUAGGUUCCAAUUAAAAUUUCACAGUUACCCAACACAGAGCCUUAGGUGGUAUCCGUUUCCAUCAAUAGUUCAGCCUGAAAUAUCUUUGGAAUAAGCUAGUAACAGUCUAGUCUGUUACCUUCUGGCAUAGCAUCAACACUUUGACUAUGUUGAUGUGGGAUCAAGGCUUCAUGUAGUGGCACCUUGCAUCCAUGAAUGCCUAUGGCAUGUGGAGUGACAUGCCAUGUUCCAAAUAAGGUGACAAGUAGCUAUGCUUGCAAGACUGAAUAACAUGUCAAUGCAUGGAGAAUGAGUAGAGAGGACUAUGGGUGCUAGGUAAUGACUUGGUGGUGACUUGAGGGUAGCAACACAUGGUGACAGCAUGUAGACUUACACACACAAAGCACCACGUGGGUGACUCGACUCAGCAAAAAUUCAAGUGUGGAAUUUCAUUGAGUUGAGAUUUUUCCUAAAAAGAUGAUGCCUUGAGAAGUAGUUUCCAACAGAGGAAUAUUUUUUCUGAAUUUUCUUUAAUUAUAGAAAAUUCAUUAUGCUUGUGAAAUCCAUUAGGAUGUCUCCUCCUAUCAAAAUGAGAAUGCUUAAAAAACUCUUUAGGGAGGGCAAGGAGAGUAUCACUCUCUCCAAAAAUGGUUAUAUAAAGGGUUGGAUUCAUGACUUCUCAAGCUUCGAAAGUAUCUAUGGCUUACCCUAAAAACUCUUAGGAAGAAUCCCAAAAUUCAUAUCAAAGUUGGGGAUUGUGAAUUUCGAAUUCAUCAUAUGGAUUUUCGAAUUAGGCAUUUUUGAAUUCAAAAUUUAAUGCCAAUUUUGAAUUUAGCCACCUAAAAAUGACUUCAAACUUUUAGAACUCAAGUACGCAUUCUUGCUUCCAUGAUGCUUUUGAUUUAACCAUGACCUUCCUAAACUUCAAAAAAUGAAACGUGAUGCAUAUAGUUUGAAGUUUUUGAAAAUCUAAUGAUUUAAAAAUAUUGAAAAAAAAUUGAUGCAAUCAACAAUGCACUUUUAAAGCUUAUUUUCCUUUAAUACCUAAUUGUAUAAACUCAACUCACAUGCCAAAAAUAGGAAACUAAGGAUAUUGCAAUGAGGCAACAUACCUUUAGGAGCUUUACCAUCUCAAAAACAUGCAAUAUCUUUAAACAUCUUGAUUAACACUCUUGGAGGCUCAUAUGCAUUAUCACCCAAAAUAGCUUCAAACAUCUUGGCUACCACUCAAAAAUUUGUUAGGUGAUUACAUCACAUAACUCAACACUAAAACCAACUUGAAAUGACUAAAAACAAAUAAAAAUGAAGAAAAACUCAAACAAAAACCAAAGAGAAACAAAAACAACCCACCAUACAUUACCUCUUAGAAGUUGUUGAAAGGCAUCAUCCAUUUUAAAUCCAUCCAUCAAGGAGAUGGAGAGUUUCCUCUAGUCAUAGGAAUCACUCUUUGAAGAACUUGAGGCAAUGAUCUUGCGCCUUGAACUUAUGGCCCAUUUUAGGAUUGAGUAAGGUGAUGAGCAAAACGUAAGGACUUCCUUCUCGCCUAGCUUGAACUUUCUUCUCAAAUUGCCCUUAUUGUGGUAGAAUUUUGACUUGUCUGUUACUCUCCUCCACCAUUCAUAUAGUUUUUCCUCCAAAACUCCUAACACUUAUCAUUCAUCUUAACUCUCUUACAUUCCUUGGGAAUGUUUAGCAACUUCCUUUUACUCUUUCCUUUUACUCUCUUAGUUGACAAAUUUGAAUCAACCUUUGGCUUCAUAUUGUUUAAGGUUUGGUCAAUAGGCUUCUAGAUGAGAGUUUCUAGUUGGAAAACUUCCUCAUUCUCAACCUCCUCGUGUUCAACUUGUUGGUUAUUCAAGUUAAGUACUUUCAAAUAUAGUGCCAUAUUACCGAAAGAGAGUUAUAUUACCCCAUUUUGACAAUUGAUGAGGGCAUUUGUUGUUGCCGAAAGGGUUUCUUAAGAAUGAUUGGCAUAGAAUUCACUCCCCUUCAUGGUGGCUCAAUGUCUAAUACUAUAAAAUCCACAAGAUAAUAGAACCUGUCAACUCGUACUAACACAUCCUCCAUUACUCCUUUUAGCCUUUGGAUGGAUCAAUCAGGGAAGGAUAAGUUCAUGGUAGUGGCCUUGAGUUAUCCUAAACCUAACUACUUGUAGAGGGAGUAAGGUACGAGACUCACAGUAGCUUCCAAAUCAAGUAAAGCCUUUUCCACAUAUGUAUCUCCUAUUUUCACUGAAACAGUGAGGUAGCCCAGGUCUUUGUAUUUUACUACAACUAUAUUCUCAAUUAUCACACUCACUUUUUCAAUGAGGAAUGUUUUCUUGCUAAACUUGAUCCUUCUUUUCAUAGUCCACGGAUCUUUUAGAAAUUUGGUAUAUGCAAAAACCUACUUGAUCAUAUCCAGAAGAGGAUAUUUAUCUUAACCUGUUUCAACACUGUUAACAUUUCUGAGAUCUCACCCCUUAUCCUCUACCUUUGAAUUGCUCUAGGAAAUGGUAAAGGGUUAGCAAAUUUUCCCUUCUCACUAACUAUUGAUUUCUUCAAGCCUUUCACAUUCCCUUUCCAUUUCCAUAUCUGCUUCCAAGGUUGAAACAUUUUCUUUAGUACCCUUGUCUUCUAUCAUUGGUUGCGUAGGCCCUUUACAUCCUUUUCCACUUCUAAGUGUGAUCACUGCCUUGCAUUCUUUAUUCCUUACCUUUGAAAUUUUGCAUGCUUCCCUCGAGUUUUGAUAUGGAUGAGCAGGAAAGUUUGGCUCUCUUUGCCAAAUCAUUCUACUGGCUAAAGAUUAAACAUGAGGUGGUUGCCCUAUGUCAAGUCAUGCUUAGUAGGUCAAUUGAUAAGACAAAGAAGAAAGAAAUGGAAUUACUACAACCUUUGCCUAUCCCUGAGAAUCCUUGCAAAGCAUUUCAAUGGACAAAUGGAAUUACUACAGCCUUUGCCUGUCCCUGAGAAUCCUUGCAAAGCAUUUCAAUGGACUUAAUUAAUAGGUUCCCAAAAGUUCAAGGGUACAAGUCAGUUUUUGUUAUUAUGAUUUGAUUUCCCAAAUAUGGUGGUUUUUAUCUUCACCACAUGCGGACUUACUUAAUAGGUUCCCAAAAGUUCAAGGAUACAAGUCAGUUUUUGUUAUCAUGAAUUGAUUUUCCAAAUAUGGUGGUUUUUAUCUUCACCACAUGCAUGUCCUGCUAAGAAAAUAACCUAUUUGUUCUUCAACCAUGUAGUUAAACAUUAUAGUUUACUAGAAGAUAUAGUAAACAAUAGAGACUCUCACUAAUGGGAAAAUCUUAGGUAGAGCUCUUCAAGAUGCUAGGAUUAGAAUUAAAGUUCUCAACUACAAAUCACCCUCAAACAAAGGCGGACUAAGAAGGUGAAUGCAAUAUUAGAAGAAUAUUUAAGGCAUUAUGUGAUUCCUAUGCAGAAAGUUGGCUAGAAUUGUUGGAAGUGGCUUAGUUGUGUUACAAUUUAUAUAAAAACUCUUCCAUAGGAUUAAUCCCAUUUAAGGUGGCAACUGGGUAGCAACCUCACAAGCCUUUAGAUAUGUUGGCUAGGAUGUAGAUUAGGUGCAACAUCAGUAUUGUCGCAUUAAGAUUUGUGAAAUUUCUGUAGGAAAUACUUGAAGAAGCCAAAAAAAGUUUAAAUAAAGCUAGUAGACAAAUGAAAAUUUAUGCUAACAAAUGCCCUUAGAAAUCCAAGUGGGUGACAAAGUGUUGCUAAAGCUUACACCACAAAUUUAGAAGAAGAUUAGCAGCAAGAGGGUACAAAGGGGCUUGAUCCCCGAAUAUGAUGGGUCCUCUCAAAUUAAUAAAGAAGAUUAGUGUUGUUGCAUUUAGGUUGAACUCCCUGAUAGAUUGAAAAUUCAUCCUUUUUAUAUGAGUUUCUUGAAGUCCUUUCAUGAGGAUCAAGAUCCCAUCGAGUGCAACACAAGUGUGCACUAUCAACUAUUCAAAAGCAAUUUGAUUGAGAGAUUUAUAGGAUCUUAGAUCAUCAGACUAUGGGAGUACACAAAAA